rnacentral:tRNA from 1 species
GUGGCUGUGGCUUAGUGGUAGAGCACUUACCUAGCAUGUGUGAGGCACUGGGUUUGAUUCUCAGCAGCAUA